ensembl:lncRNA
UGUUAUUAAGUAUCUCACCUUUUAUUUUGUUCAUUUACACUUCUGGCACUGACAAUUCUUUGAAGAUAUUUAUUUUUAUGUAAAGACCAAACUUCAUUAAAGCAAUCAGAAGUCAACUGAAUAAUUUUACAUCACUUAAGUUCCAGAAAAUGUACACCACUUUCAUACAUUGUAGGCUUGACUGGCUGCAAAAGGAAAUGGCACAUGUUUGACAUGGUUAAGAAGUAAUUUGGACAACCCAGCAAUUAGUUUUGCCAAAACCUGUUUGGUACUGAAUACCGUAACACGCACCUAGAGAUUACAGUAUGCCUGAUGGCACCAUGUGCAUGUUCUUAUUCACCAUGGCAUUGUUACUAUCCAUUUGGUCUCUAAUAAUGUCUAAAAUAUUCUACAUAGACUAAAACUGAUUGAUGGUUUUGUAGGGGUGUGAGAUUCAUGAUGGAAAGCAGAGACGUGACUUGUGCCACUUCCCAGCAAUGCCCUGGACCAGCAGGACACUGAAUACAUGGAGAGUAUCAAGCAUAUGAAUAAUCCUAUCGAUUUCAUGGGGACUGCUCGAACACUUAAAAUCAAACAGAUGGCAGGCGUGCCCAAGGCAGGGCCUGCGGCGUAACGCUGCCUCCCAGCACCACGAAACCGACUCGUUUCACAGCUGCGGAGGACCCAGGAAGUUUCUCCUGCAGAAGUCACGAUGAUGGUCAUACAUUCAGUCCUCUCUAAAGUCUGUGUAAUGUUUAAGGCAGUGAGAGACAUUUGCCUUUAUUUUAACACUUCAGAAAUGAAUGUUUCCUUUAGAAAUAGGUGGACAAUAUUCAUAAUUAAUCAGUGUGCCCUGUACUUACAUAAAUGUGAUGGAAGGCCAAACCAAAUUUUGACAAACUGUAUCUCAACAGAAUCAAGGAGCAUAACUGGAGUUCAAGCGUUAUAAUUACAUGUGCCAGAUCAUUCACAUGUAACAAACCAUCUAGGGACAAUGUGAAAAAGUGGGGAUUUAGGUGAAAUCUGUAUUCUUGAGGCCUGAUGCUGGUCAAAUUUCCCCUGGCGUAAGUGAGCUCUACUGAAGCUGAGUGAGCACCUCUGGUGAGAGGCGUGAGGAAGGUUAAAAACAUGCUGCUGGUUCACACUAACAGGUCAUUGUGGCUAAAGUAUAUUCUCAUAUACAGAACUCUGGAACACUAUUAACACCCAUUUACAAAACACUACAGUGAUGGUUAUUGGCACAUAAAAAACUCCUCCUCUAUAUGAAAACAUACACAAAAUAGAUAAGAACUGCCAUUUUUUCAGACUUUUAAAAUCUAUAUAUAGUUGCCUUUAAGGAGUUUUAACCCCCAGUAUCACAAACAACAAUAUUUCUUAACAAUGUUCACCUAGAUUUUACUGUGCUGACAUUUGUAACACUGCCACAACCUAGACCGCUUUGUGGAUUAUGCUUAACUGUACUGUACACAAGGUGAUGGAGAUCCAUAGAAAACCACUAAGAUUUUUGCACAAAAAUGUGACUCAUUAAAAUCCAGAGAACGACUGAGUCACUUUAUAGGCAGCAGCUACAUGUAAGCUGUAAAUGGUACCCGCAAUAAAAACACAUUUUGCCAUAAAGCACAUAUUGUGGCAUUAUCUGCUUCUGGCCUGGUACACAAAGCUUGAUUUUCUUCCCAACGCAAAGGAAUGGGUUUGGUUAGCUUGACUCUCUCAGAAAAAAGUGCACAAAUACCUUACUUUUUAAAGUGCUUUGCAGAACUGUCUCUUCUGCCUUGACCUCUACCCCGAGAUCUCUGUGCUGUGAAGACUCUGCCUUUUUCCUCCUUUUUCCCUCUCUCUCCUCAGCUAACAAAGCCUCUUAUGCAAGUAAAAUAAAAUUUCAAGAAGACCACGUUAGAAGAGAACUGAUGUUAAGUAGAAAGCUGGGUAUAAAUCUGACAAAUACAGGGUCCAUCUUUUAUUAGCCCACUGUGUACCUGUGGGACUGCACCCAACACCCUCAUGGGUGAAGAAAGACCUCUGCUCAGGGCCUGUAGCAGGCCCUGGAAGUUUAAACUUCUCCCCAGUGCUCAACCUGAGUGACUAAGAAAGGCAAAAGAUUUCACAAAGGUAACAAGUAUUAGCUUUGCAAACUCCAUUGCCACAUUCUCACCUCUGUGUAGGCAUGGGAGAGGAGCACUUGUGUGCUUCUUCCCCCUUAGUCUGCGAGUUCCCCUGCUCCCAUCGACAGGACCAAGCACAGUCCCUUGGUCCCACCAGCCUUGUCCCACAUGGGAGACAAGCCAGAGACUGCUCCUUUUGGCUAUGACACCAAUAUCUACUGAAACAUGACAUUGUGGGGCUUUUAAUGCACCAUCGCUUUCUUCUUGCCUCCCAACCCUAACUCCUACACCAGUGAAAUGCUACAUUUACCAACUCACGCCAAAAUAAGUCGGAACAAUGAUCCUCAGGAUGUAUCUGCUCUAGUCCCAAAAUUUCUGACAGGGCUGUCACUGCAACUGACAAGGUAGCAACGUCUACCAUCUGUCUAAGGUGCAUGCAUAGCAAUGCAGCUCCAGCCCUCCAUAUGAGUCCUGGGGCCUUGCUUUGUUUCUAUGUCUAUUUUGAAAACAGGUUUGUUUCUCUUGUUAAAAGAUGACUUUGAUCAGCAAAGUGACGUGGGGAAGAAAGAAGCGGCAAAUUAUCUCAACGUUCCCCC